ACAAUCAUGGUGCUUACAGAGCACUGGAAGAAUUCACAAUGGCACAUUGUGGGAUCUGCGUUUACUCACAGUGUGUCUACUUGUCAUGGGCACUUUUCCAUAUGUGUCUGCACAGACUGAAAAGGUGCUCAAUGUAGUACUGCCAUGUGAAGACUCCCUAUUCAGAAAGCCUGUUCUCUGUGAGAAAAUGAUAAAGAAAUUCAACAGAUCUUCAGUCUCCAGAGAAUGGAUUUUGUGAAAGACAAGACCAGGGCAUAUUUCUCGCCAUAGAAUUAUUAUAACAACAACAAUACCUGAAGCACGUCUGCAACAAUCAUGAUAUGACUGUGACUUCUGCUGCUACCACAAUGACUAACGGUCAGCAUUUAUUGAGUAUCAGACCAGAUACUGUUUAAACACCUUUACAGAUUUGAUGAAAUCCUCACACUAACUUUGAGAGUAAACAAAGGCACAGAGAAGUUAAUGGCUUACCCAAGAGUACACAACUCAGUGGUGCAAUGGAUACCUGAGAUACAAGUAAAAAGGUUCCUCUUAUUACACUUCCAGAGGCAGAAUUUCUAGCUUUUUUCUCUCAACUGCCAACUCUGUUCCCACGCUACUGGGGCUCUAUCUCCAACAACUCCACUGAGGUCCCAUCCCACCUCACUGAUCUUCAGAAGCUGAUCGUAAGUGACAAAUUGGGGAAACUGUAGCAUAAAGGUAAUAGGGAAGCAGAGGAACAGGAUUCUUGGCACUCAUUGCCAAACUCCGCUCCAUAAAACCUGUUACCGAUGAGCAAAAUGGUUAACAGUUGCAUAUUGGCAGAAGUGGAACAGGAUAUUCUCCAUAUGUGGAUUUCACACCAGACCCCUGAGCCAUGAACACAAAUACUCUGAGUUGUCCCAUUUAUAAGCAAGCAUGUGAUUCUUCUCAUUUUGCAGUGCAUUCUCUAAUGCAAUUGCAUUGCAUCAAGAGUCAGGCACGUUGAUAGGAAUCCCCAAAUCCAUAACAAUUUGGAGAUCACUGGUGGGGCCAAGUAAUGGUUAUACUGUAAGAUACCCCUAAUCUCCUGGGGCUGUCCUUUGCUUCUGCAAUUUCCAGGGGACCCGGCCCAAGGACCACAGCCAAGUUCUGAGUAUCAUGAAGUAGCCUUUCACAGAAUGGAUCAAAAACGACUUCAUGUUGCAAGCAGUAAUUUAUUCUUGCCACAGAGCAGUCAUCAUAUCAAGAUUAAAGACACACGUGGGAGGCUUUGAGAUUUCUCAUUUUUCUCACUCAGUAUGCAGUUCUUCCUUGAAAUACAAGUUUGGGGAACCCAGGUUAUUUGGGGUUACAGAAUCCCACAAGGUUAAAAAAAUUCCUUCCAAAGAGAAGCAAAAAGUCCAGCCCAGCUGGAAAUAAAAGUGGGUCUCAGAGGCUUCCUCUUUAGUGCGGUUUCUUUGUAGACUAUUACAAGUUUAUUUCCAGAAGCCAUUUGAAGGGAGCUAUAUACUAUGACCUGUAUUU
rnacentral:lncRNA from 1 species